rnacentral:tRNA from 1 species
GAUUCAGUGGCCGAGAGGAUAACGCGAUGGCGUUUAAAGCGAAAGUUACUGGGUUCGAGUCCCAGAGUGAAC